rnacentral:lncRNA from 1 species
GUAAGUAUGUGAAGGUCAUUUUACAGUCUGUCAAUGUUCAGUUUGACCAGGUUUCCUAUCUCUAGCACUGAUUAUUUCACAAUAGAGGUAACUGAAAUGAACAAAGUAUAUUUGCCUUAUUCUAUGCCAAGUUUGAGUGGGCCUAAACACAGACUCAGAGAUGAGAACUUGGGUACAAGUAAUAUAUGGAAGUGGUAAUCUAGAAGGUACAAAUAUGAAAGUAGGGAAAGUGAAGCAGAAAAGUUUGUGUUAAUGAAAUUACUGCUGUAGGCUAUUGUUGCUUAACCCUCUGUGGCCCCUUUGGGAAACUAGGUAGAAAAGUCUUCAGAACUAUCCCUCCGAAGGAAUGGAGGUCUUGCUCUUAUUCAUUGACCACUUCAUUUUCCAUGGUUUCAGCGUUGCCUGAGGGAAGGACAUUAACUCUCCAAAACCUGUAAUUUGUCCUUUUUUGAAUUCAAGCAAGUCUCAAGGUGACAAUAGUCCUCAGGCAGACAAGAAGGAAUAAGGGUUUGAGAUGAAUGGCUACAGCUGAGAGUAUGCUGGAAAUAAGAAGAUAAAAGAACAAGGCCAACAUCACAAUGAGGAAACAAUCACACAUAUUCAAAAUGUUGGACAUUCUCCAAGAUAACCAGGGUGGAAUAAUCAAUGUCAUUUGAAAAAAUGAGCAGACUAUUUCAUAUCAGAAAAAGACUAUGAAAGAAUAAAGGAAUAUCAUAGCUGUGGUGCUGAGAACAUAACCUACUCCCAUUGGUUUCCAACAACUGAGACCUUGAACAGUGACUUCUUAGCUGUAAAUCCCAGAAUCUUCUGUUUCAAAUCAAUUCUUCAGGAAAAAGAGGACAAAAUAUAAACCCAAGUGGAGAGAGUACUAAAAGACACAAGAUUUUUUUUUAGAGAAUUUAUCAAUCUAAUAUGAGCAAUUAAUUAUUUAUGAUGGUUCCUAUGUUUCACAGAGAAGUUGAAGAAAUAAGAUUAGAACCAUCUUAUGGGCUCUGGGUAAGGCUCUGCAAUCUUUCACCAUUUUUGCUUUAUUUAUUAUACCAAGUAGCAUGACAGAUGUUUGCAAUUUGACUUGAACAUUUUCAUUGUCUUUGCUUUUUUUGUUUCUUUCUUUUUAAAAAUCCAUGGUUUUUUAAUUUCCUUUUCAAUAUUUGCAUCCUUUUAUGGAAUAUAAGAGACCACUUAUAUGCACAAGAGUUAUCUCUUGUGGGUCUCACUAUUAUUAUCAUCAAAAUGCCUGAAAUUACCUGUGAGGGAACAUUAUAAAGUAAAUGAUAAAGAAAUAAUUUAAUGUUACACAUUAGGUAACCUCUAGGAAUAUAUGCUGGAACCAUAGGAAGACAUUGGGCAGGAAGAACAAUAAAAAUAUUUGGAUUGGAAGUAAAAAUGCUAAUCUACUUGUCAGAAAGGUCAUGUCUACAGUCAACAACUGUUCAAAUAGAAGCUUUAAAGCGAGGCUCAGCACACUUUUCUGUAGAGCCAGACAACAAAUAUCUCCGGCUUUGUGGUCCAUAUGGUCGACACUGCAACUACUAGAGUCUGCCAUUGUAGCACGCAAACAGCCAUAGACCAUAUGUGAAUGAAUGGUGUGGCUGUGUUCCAAAAGCCUUAUUUACAAAAACAAGGGAAGUGUUAGACUUCUUCAGAUCUUGGUGUGCUAGUCCUUGCUUUACACAACUAAGAUGAGUGUGAACUAUAUUUCAAAUAGAAGUGAGAGCCCCAAAGGUGGGCAAACCAUUAUAGUAAGAUGGUCAAGUUGCCUAGGCAGGGGCAAUUUAGACAUCUAGACAUCAUAAUUUUGAGUGAGCUAUCAAUUUAUUCAGGCAGGUUUUCUAAGUCUUAGAUUAAAGGGGUAGGUUGGAAUUUAGGGUUAGAUUCUACCUCACUGAGACAAAAUGAUACAAAUAAAAAGUUCAUGACAAGGAUAGAUAAAGACCGUGAACUUACUAGAACAUACUAAGUACAGCUGCUCAUAGCAACAAGGUUUAUUUCAGAUCUUACCUGUUGCUAGCACCAUAUAUUACUCUAACAUGCUUGCUCAAUUUGCUGUCCCAUGGAAAAAAUAAUUGGUUGAGAACUAGUCAGAAGAGUCUUUGUAACUACUUUAAGGACAAAAGUAAUGUUGCUGUUGUGUCCUCAAUAUAUAUAUACAAUAGUGCCUGGAACACAAUAGACAUUUAGUGAUCAUUCCUUGUGUACCUAGAACUUGAUACCUAUUAAAUAUUUUUCUAGUAGAAGUUUGUAAAUUAAUACUACAGGAUUUUUAGCAUUUAUUCUUUUAUAAUAUUAUAUAUAAAAUUUUACUGAUAGACAAUGUCUUCCAGUUCUUUAUACUAUCCUUUGCCACUUUAAUUCAAAAGCAUAUUAAAUUAUAUUUUAUAUUAAAAAUUUAAUUCUAAGAGUAAGAAUUACAGUUAUAAAAAUAUCCCAGGUGAUCAAAGAUAUGGAGCUAUUGCCUAAUGACAGACAUUAUAGUAUAGUGGUGAAUACAGAAAUUUAAUUUUUCAUCUCCUCCUGUCACUCCCUCUUAAGACAUUUUAGGGUCACCCUCCAUGAGGUAGCAGAUUCAUUAGCUUCUACUUUAAAUCCUGCCUCAGAGUAGAAAUCAGUCAGCUCUGUUGAGGGAAUUCCUGAGCAGAAAAAAAUAUCUUUCUAGGACAUUAGAGAGCAAUUGAGUAUUUAAAGAGUCAUUCAAAGAAGAACCUUCAGUAAGCAUUAGAGUAAGCAACUUUACCUAUAUUUUUUAAAAAGGAGAGCUGAGUCAACUCAGGCAAAAGAAAUUGAAUAUGUCAUUUUAAAGAGUCUCAAUAUAACAGAAAUGAAAUGUGUCACUAAUCCACCUUGCCAGCUUAUACAGCUUUUGAGAGUGAAAGACUCUUAGUAAUGACAUUGAUUAUUAUUAAAUGUUAGUAGCUCAGUGUUGUAGAGAAUAUAAACAGCAGUAUUUAUAGACUCUUGGUAAAAUGUAUUUUAACUUUUUAAAGACAUUGCAGAGUUGGCUAUCUUCUCUAACACAACAUAUUGUAGAAUUGUCAUUUAAUAUUUCGUAGAACUAGCUAGAGCAACUAUUCUUUCUUAAGUGGCACAUGUUCAUUUUCUGUAUUUUCCUCAUCUUUACCACCUGCUAGCAGUGUUUCAGGCAACAAAACAGCAGUGUUCUCACCAGACAGUAUAGCCUCCUCCAAAAUGGUAGCAAUCCCAAAGAUUCACAAUAAAACAAAACCUUUAAGACUAUGAUAAAUGGUUUUUAUUUCUUUUUUAAAAACAGUUCUUCCUUUAUUCUUUAAUCUUUAAACACUGAGUUGAAAUGGAUGAUUGAAAAUAUUAUUUGGGGUAUAUUGUUGUACACAUAAGAGAGUAAAUUUUAAGAGCUGAAUUAAAUUUCUCACUCUACCUUUUCUUUCAGUUUAUUUUUAAAUAUAUAUAUUUGUAGAAGCAGUUAUCUGCCAUCCGGAAAUUAAUUCUCAUUUUCUUGGAUUAUUUUAUGGUGACUACUUUCUAAGUAUUUUAUCCUUUAGUGAACAAAUGGUCUUUCUUUCCAGUUAGAAGGUGAUCCUCAAUAAUUAUGUUCUUUUCUUUAACCAAAACCUUGUUUCAAUUAUGACAUUUUGUUGAUAUGUAAAAAUUCUGAAGAAAUAAAAGCAAAAAAUAUUGAAUAAUAAUUUUGUUUAAACAACAUAUUUAGAAUAUUGAAUGACCCUGUUUAAACAAUAUAUUUAGAAUGUCUUAUUGGUAGAAAAUGUCUUCAUG